CCGGUACUAAUACUGGAUACGACCUUCUGGCGCAUGCCAUGUUGGUGGAAAGCUUUGGUGGUUUUGGAUGGACUCGCGGCCUAUCAGCUUGUUGGUGGGGUAAUGGCUUACCAAGGCGACGACGGGUAGCCGGCCUGAGAGGGUGACCGGCCACACUGGGACUGAGACACGGCCCAGACUCCUACGGGAGGCAGCAGUGGGGAAUAUUGCACAAUGGGCGCAAGCCUGAUGCAGCGACGCCGCGUGAGGGAUGAAGGCCUUCGGGUUGUAAACCUCUUUCAGUAGGGAAGAAGCUGGUCCUUUUGGGGUUGGUGACGGUACCUGCAGAAGAAGCGCCGGCUAACUACGUGCCAGCAGCCGCGGUAAUACGUAGGGCGCAAGCGUUAUCCGGAAUUAUUGGGCGUAAAGAGCUCGUAGGCGGUUUGUCGCGUCUGCCGUGAAAGUCCGGGGCUUAACCCCGGAUCUGCGGUGGGUACGGGCAGACUAGAGUGCAGUAGGGGAGACUGGAAUUCCUGGUGUAGCGGUGAAAUGCGCAGAUAUCAGGAGGAACACCGAUGGCGAAGGCAGGUCUCUGGGCUGUAACUGACGCUGAGGAGCGAAAGCAUGGGGAGCGAACAGGAUUAGAUACCCUGGUAGUCCAUGCCGUAAACGUUGGGCACUAGGUGUGGGGGACAUUCCACGUUUUCCGCGCCGUAGCUAACGCAUUAAGUGCCCCGCCUGGGGAGUACGGCCGCAAGGCUAAAACUCAAAGGAAUUGACGGGGGCCCGCACAAGCGGCGGAGCAUGCGGAUUAAUUCGAUGCAACGCGAAGAACCUUACCAAGGCUUGACAUGAACCGGAAUGAUGCAGAGAUGUGUCAGCCACUUGUGGCCGGUUUACAGGUGGUGCAUGGUUGUCGUCAGCUCGUGUCGUGAGAUGUUGGGUUAAGUCCCGCAACGAGCGCAACCCUCGUUCCAU
rnacentral:rRNA from 1 species